AUGGUGAAGGAACCGUCCGCCAAGCGUUAUCAUGGCGAGACGUCGGACAAGAGCAGCAACCUCGUCGACGUUCACGUCCCCGGCGAGAAGCGCGAGUACACGAGAACUCUCAUAGGGGUUGAGCUCCAUGGCAAGGAGACGCUAGAGAUCAUCUGCACUAGCGAACCAGGCAAGGCCGACGAGAUGAUGAGCGUGCUCAGGAUGAAGGGCGGUGGCUUGUACCUGAGCUUCAUCAGAGUUGACGUGGAGUACACCAGCGAAGAUGAACCUCCACAGAUGGCAGCAGUCCUGCAAUUGUGCGUCGAGGAACCCUGCUUGGUGUACCACAUCGCAGCGGCCACAAAAUGGCCCAAGCGCCUCAAACAGUUCCUGCAGGAGGAGAAAUUGUACACAUUUGUCGGUUUCAGCAUUGGAGGUGACAAGCGGAUGCUGGACAAGUCUGGUUUGGAGAUCAACCCCAACAACUUCAUCGACAUGCAGCGCAAGUGGAAAGAUCUAACCACCAGCAAAUACUACGACUCCUUGGCCGAUGUUGCAGGCGGCGUCAUCCACCCACUCUACAAAGGCAUGAAGAAGAAGAUGGAGAAGAAGGAAGACCACAAACUGUGGGGGAACAGCCCGCUGCCAGACAACCUCAUCGAGUAUGCAGGAAUAGAUGCGUACACCACGUACAAGUCAUGGAAGACAAUCGACAACAUCGUGACAGGUUGGGAUAUUUCAAAAGAGCAGGAGGCUGACCCCUACUACCACUGCAACUUCGCAGGAUGA
rnacentral:rRNA from 1 species